rnacentral:misc_RNA from 1 species
GGACUCUCAAAGGACCAUGCAAAACUCUCAUCCCACUCUGGAUUAGGACCAGUGGAUACAACCUUUGUUUGCCUCGGUGGAGUAUUGCCAAGGGUGAGCUUGCAAAAUACGCUGGGGUUUCCUACUGACUGCUUCAUAUUGUUGCCACGUUUGAUUAUAACUAAUAAUGUUCCUGGCAAACACUGUAACAAAAACUCGGCCUUCUCCUGAAAACGAGGAGGGCCUGACUGAAUUAAAUACUGAAGCAAAGGGAUGGCAUCUGCAGCAGCAACAGACUGAGCUCUUGAAACCUCAGCUGGACAAGCCGACCAGGCUUGCCUCAAAAGAAAUAGGGCAUCUAACGCAGCUUCUUGAGUUGCCUCAGUACCAGUCUUCAGGGAUGUUACUAAAUGAGGAAUGCUGAGUGUAGCAGGCUCGGUAGCUCUCAA